AACGAACGCUGGCGGCAUGCCUAACACAUGCAAGUCGAACGAGAAAGUCACUUCGGUGGCGAUUAAAGUGGCGAACGGGUGAGUAACGCGUAGAUAAUCUACCCUCCAGUCUGGGAUAACUUCCUGAAAAGGAUGCUAAUACCGGAUAAAAUGUUUAAUCGAGUGUUUGGACAUUGAAAGUUCCGGCGCUGGGGGAUGAGUCUGCGUCCCAUUAGCUAGUUGGUGGGGUAAUGGCCUACCAAGGCAACGAUGGGUAGCGGGUCUGAGAGGAUGAUCCGCCACACUGGCACUGAGACACGGGCCAG
rnacentral:rRNA from 1 species